UUCUUCUCAAAGCCAUCCCUCUGAAGCAGGAACACCAUCUUUACCCUGGGCACCCAUGGUGCUGUCUUCUCACCGGCCGAGCUCGAGGCCCCCAUCCUGGUGCCCCAUACUGCCCAGCGUGGAGAGCAGAGGUAUCCAUUCGAAGCGCUCUUCUGCAGCCAGCACUAUGCCCUCCUCGACAAUUCUUGCUGUGAAUAUCUUUUUGUCUAUAAAUUUUUCAUCGUGUCUGGCUGGGCUUCACAUGACUUGUUCCAUGCUGUCAUGGGCCUCGUGAUCUCCAAGACGCUGAAACACCUGGAGUCCUCUAGCCUACUGACAUUGCUGUUUUUCUGUGUAUCCACAUUGUUCUCCGGUUCUGCAACAUUGCAGCGAAGAGGGACGUCCCUGCCCUGGACAGGUACUGGGAGCAGGUGCUUGCCUUGCUGUGGCCUCGGUUUGAGCUGAUCCUGGAGAUGAAUGUCCAGAGUGUCCGCAGCACUGACCCCCAGCGCCUUGGGGGACUGGACACUCAGCCCCACUAUAUGGCAGUCAGCCCGAGUCACUCAGCUGAUCCGUGGCUUUGGUAGUUCCUGUAAGGCUUCUGUAGAGUCCUUGAGUCAGGAUGUAACGUGGAGUUUUACCAUCUUCUGAAAUGGAACCAGCAUCAUCCAGCUCCUCUGUGCAGGGGGCGCUGACCCAACUGAUCCAGCUCAACCAUGGCUUCCACCGGGUGCUGUCUCAGCCCCAGCUCCGAGUACUCCUGGCCAGGGCCGAGCUCAUCAACAUCCAUCACCUCAUGGUGGAGCUGAAGAAACACAAGCUAAACUUC
rnacentral:lncRNA from 1 species